UACGGAGGGGGCUAGCGUUGUUCGGAAUUACUGGGCGUAAAGCGCGCGUAGGCGGCUUUGUAAGUUAGAGGUGAAAGCCUGGAGCUCAACUUCAGAAUUGCCUUUAAGACUGCAUCGCUUGAAUCCGGGAGAGGUGAGUGGAAUUCCGAGUGUAGAGGUGAAAUUCGUAGAUAUUCGGAAGAACACCAGUGGCGAAGGCGGCUCACUGGACCGGCAUUGACGCUGAGGCGCGAAAGCGUGGGGAGCAAACAGG
rnacentral:rRNA from 1 species